rnacentral:tRNA from 1 species
UGCGUCGUUAGUAUAAUGGAUAGCACACAGGAUUCCGGUUCCUGGAAUGUGGGUUCGACUCCCACACGACGCAU